rnacentral:rRNA from 1 species
UACAGAGGUCUCAAGCGUUGUUCGGAUUCAUUGGGCGUAAAGGGUGCGUAGGCGGCUCAUUAAGUCAGCGGUGAAAGCCUCCAGCUCAACUGGAGAACUGCCAUUGAUACUGAUGAGCUUGAGUAUACUUGAGGUAGGCGGAAUUGACAGUGUAGCGGUGAAAUGCAUAGAUAUUGUCAAGAACACCAAUUGCGAAGGCAGCUUACUAAAUUAUAACUGACGCUGAGGCACGAAAGUGUGGGUAUCAAACAGG